UACGUAGGGUGCAAGCGUUGUCCGGAAUUAUUGGGCGUAAAGAGCUCGUAGGUGGUUUUGUCGCGUUGUUCGUGAAAAACUCACAGCUCAACUGUGGGCGUGCGGGCGAUACGGGCAGACUAGAGUGAUGUAGGGGGAGACUGGAAUUCCUGGUGUAGCGGUGAAAUGCGCAGAUAUCAGGAGGAACACCGAUGGCGAAGGCAGGUCUCUGGGCAUUAACUGACGCUGAGGAGCGAAAGCAUGGGGAGCGAACAGG
rnacentral:rRNA from 1 species